rnacentral:rRNA from 1 species
AUACGUAGGGAGCGAGCGUUGUCCGGAAUUACUGGGUUUAAAGGGAGCGCAGGCGGAGAUGCAAGCGUGACGUCAAAUUUCGGGGCUCAACCCCGUCUCGCGUCGCGAACUGCGUCCCUUGGUUGCGGGAAGGGGAGGCGGAACUCGUGGUGUAGCGGUGAAAUGCAUAGAUAUCACGAAGAACUCCGAUCGCGAAGGCAGCCUCCCGGCCCGUCAACGACGCUCAUGCUCGAAGGUGCGGGUAUCAAACAGGAUUGGAUACCCUGGUAGUCCGCACAGUAAACGAUGGACACCCGCGGUUUGGCCUAUAUGGCUGAGCCGCCAAGCGAAAGCGUUAAGUGUCCCACCUGGGGAGUACGCCGGCAACGGUGAAACUCAAAUGAAUUGACGGGG